rnacentral:rRNA from 1 species
GGACAACCUACCCUUAGGUCGGGGAUAAACCCGGGAAACUGGGUAUAAUACCCGAUAGAUCUCGACUGCUGGAAUGCAUCGAGAUCGAAAGCUCCGGCGCCUAAGGAUGGGUCUGCGGCCUAUCAGGUAGUAGUGGGUGUAGCUACCUACUAGCCUACGACGGGUACGGGUUGUGAGAGCAAGAGCCCGGAGAUGGAUUCUGAGACACGAAUCCAGGCCCUACGGGGUGCAGCAGGCGCGAAAACUUUACAAUGCUGGAAACAGCGAUAAGGGGACCUCGAGUGCCAGGUUACAAAUCUGGCUGUCGUGAUGCCUAAAAAGCAUUGCAUAGCAAGGGCCGGGCAAGACCGGUGCCAGCCGCCGCGGUAACACCGGCGGCUCGAGUGGUAACCGUUAUUAUUGGGUCUAAAGGGUCUGUAGCCGGCCGGAUAAGUCUCUUGGGAAAUCCAGCAGCUCAACUGUUGGGCUUUCAGGAGAUACUGUCUGGCUCGAGGCCGGGAGAGGUGAGAGGUACUUCAGGGGUAGGGGUGAAAUCUUGUAAUCCUUGAAGGACCACCAGUGGCGAAGGCGUCUCACCAGAACGGACCUGACGGCAAGGGACGAAAGCUAGGGGCACGAACCGGAUUAGAUACCCGGGUAGUCCUAGCCGUAAACGAUACUCGCUAGGUGUCGGCCACGGUGCGACCGUUGUCGGUGCCGUAGGGAAGCCGUGAAGCGAGCCACCUGGGAAGUACGGCCGCAAGGCUGAAACU